GCACAAAGAACCAACUUCAUAUGCUAAGACCCCAUCACAGAAUGAAAUGGUGCUUUGUCAAGCAAUGGCUAUAUGAGGAACCACAUAACCUAGUAAAGAACCAUAAAGUGCCAUUAAGGAACCAGCACACUGUAAAAAAUUGCUGUGAAUUUACAGCGAGUUUCCUACAGUAUUUUCCUGUAUUUUGUUUACACAGUAACAUGCUGUAAUAUUUUAAAGAAUGGCUGUACAUCUACAGCAAGUAGCUGUUUUCAAAACUUAAUACAGUAAUAUAUCAAAAAUACAGUAGUUAAGAUACAGUAACAUACUGGACAAGCAAGGCAUUCUGGGAUUGGUUUGAAUGAUGAAGUAAGAGCGGUGCAAGCUGAGCAGAGGUUUUGGUUCAGAAAACCACUUUAGAACUUUUAGAACUUCUCUUACGUCCUGUCAAUUAUGUUAUAGCUUAUAAUUAUUUAUCUUUUUAUCACUCCGCCUAUUCAGUUCAUUUAUUUUUAAUAUUAUUCGUUUUGUACUUUCCAUUGUUGAGUGAAACCGGGAACAGCGUGUGAGGCGGGAGAAUUGAAAGUUCCAGAAACAAUUCAUUACCGUUUUGACUUGAAUGAUGUCUGAGUUACAAAAAGAGAUUAAGCAAACCUUACUGUGAGGAAUACCAAGCCUUCCUGACGAGCCACUCAAUCAGUCAGUUGAGAAAUGUGUAGGCUGAGGAGUAGAAGAUUUAAUGUACGUGACAGAAGAGGACUUCUUAAGAGUUCAUACAACCUGUCCAGUGCCAAACUGUUCAGCUCCUGGAAAGAUCAUGAAUGAAGAAGCAGCAUUUUGGUUCAGUAAUUAGUUUGACCGAGGUCUCCUCAAAGUUCACCACAAAUGAGCUCCUCAGGCUCCUCAGUAAGAAAAUGGAUGGACUCACGCUUCAAGCAGAUGCAUUUGCCACUUCAGCAGAUGUCCAAGGAACACUCAACUUGCCUGACAGUCCUUGAAUUAUAAUUCUUGGUCAAACUCUAAGCAACCAGCAGUGGAUGGUGAGCAUUGAAGGUCACGUUGUAUGUGAGAUGAUAUAUUGACAUCAACCCUGAACAAAUGUUCAAGGCCAAUCAAGGAAAAGCAACAUCCAAGAAGACUAGCCAAGUAGUCCAUAACAAGAAGAACGCAGUAAACCCUCAGUUUUCCUGUCCACUUUGUAAGAUAAUGGAUUUUGAACGGAAUUCAUCCAAGACCACUUUGUUCACUUUUAAUUUUGACAGUUUAGGCAAUUUUUGUCUAACAUGGUGUUCUUAUUCUAUUUUAAUGUGAAAGUCAACAUUGGUGUUAUACUUUUACAUUUAGUAUUGAAUGCUGCACUAUGUUUAUUGCCAGUGUUUCCCACCUCUGUUGCAACCAUUUGUGUUUUUCUGAAAUAAUGAAAGACUGCUACCAAUUAAAAAAACUGGUAAUGUAAAAAGCUAAUCAAGACCAUAAAAAUAAAUGUUUAUUGGAAUGUUUCAAAUGAAAGAAGCAUUAUUUGUUUAAAUUAAUCUGUCAGUAAAUAUUUGAAUAUAAUGUCCUUAUCAAUGCUGUAGUGACACUAUAGAAUGGUAUUCACAGCAUGACCAAUGUAAAAAUACAAUACAUAACUAUAGAAAAUACAGUUCUAACAUUUUCUCAUGUAAUUUUACAGUAAAAAUUUCCUUGUAAUUU